rnacentral:rRNA from 1 species
AACGAACGCUGGCGGCGUGCUUAACACAUGCAAGUCGAACGGAAAGGCCCUGCUUUUGUGGGGUGCUCGAGUGGCGAACGGGUGAGUAACACGUGAGUAACCUGCCCUUGACUUUGGGAUAACUUCAGGAAACUGGGGCUAAUACCGGAUAGGAGCUCCUGCUGCAUGGUGGGGGUUGGAAAGUUUCGGCGGUUGGGGAUGGACUCGCGGCUUAUCAGCUUGUUGGUGGGGUAGUGGCUUACCAAGGCUUUGACGGGUAGCCGGCCUGAGAGGGUGACCGGCCAAUUGGGAAUGGAGACCGGGCCAGGAUCCCUGCGGGAGGAGGCGUGGGGGAUAAUGGCACAAGGGGCGGAACCCGGAAGCACCACCGCGGCGGGGGGGAUGACGGCUUUGGGGUGGAAACCCGCUUCCCCUUUUGCCAAGGCGUGAGGGCGGGUAAUGGGAAAAGAAGCCCCGGCUACCUA